AGGAAUCGGGACAACGCUGGACUCCACGCAUCCCUGGAGCUGCCGGAAGGAAGUGACAGGAAAUGACCAGAAGCUAAGAACAGAAGAGUGAUGAGAGGCAAGAGAGGUGGCGUCACCAGUAAGUUGUGCCGGGAAUCAGACCUUGUUGCUCCGAUACUACUUCUGGCAAACUUCCUUAAUGAAUACACAUCUAAAUGUGGCAUAGUUUAUAUCACAUCGGAUACAUAACAUCCACACCAGGAUCUGGAUCCCAACAACCACGGCUUGGCAAGAACACAUACACAGGAGCUUAUCUUGCUUGCCAAUAACCCAAGUUUGGUGAGUCGAGACGUAUGGGUUAGUGCAUCUGCCACCUCUUUUCACCUUACAGAAAAUAGGUACCAAGGUAAAAAAAAAAAAGGCAACUAUUGUGGAUCGCAGACUAGGGAAGAAGACCGAUGUACCCCAGUGGAAAGAAUCCCACUGUUUGGCUUCCUUGGGCUA